rnacentral:rRNA from 1 species
UGAGGAAUUUUGCGCAAUGGGAGCAAUCCUGACGCAGCAACGCCGCGUGGGUGAUGAAGGCCUUCGGGUCGUAAAGCCCUGUCAGGUGGGAAGAAUGUCCCGGAACUGAACAGGUUUCGGGAGUGACGGUACCACCAGAGGAAGCACCGGCUAACUCCGUGCCAGCAGCCGCGGUAAUACGGAGGGUGCAAGCGUUAUUCGGAAUUACUGGGCGUAAAGCGCGUGUAGGCGGUCCUGCAAGUCGGAUGUGAAAGCCCCGGGCUUAACCCGGGAAGUGCAUUGGAACCUGCAGGUCUUGAGGACUGGAGAGGAUGGGGGAAUUCCCGGUGUAGAGGUGAAAUUCGUAGAGAUCGGGAGGAAUAUCAGUGGCGAAGGCGCCCAUCUGGACGGUAACUGACGCUGAGACGCGAAAGCGUGGGGAGCAAACA